UACGGAGGGAGCUAGCGUUGUUCGGAUAUACUGGGCGUAAAGCGCACGUAGGCGGCGCAGUAAGUCAGGGGUGAAAUCCCGGGGCUCAACCCCGGAACUGCCCUUGAAACUGCAGUGCUAAAAUCUUGGAGAGGCGAGUGGAAUUCCGAGUGUAGAGGUGAAAUUCGUAGAUAUUCGGAAGAACACCAGUGGCGAAGGCGACUCGCUGGACAAGUAUUGACGCUGAGGUGCGAAAGCGUGGGGAGCAAACAGG
rnacentral:rRNA from 1 species